GUUUCUCUUGCCAGAACUUGUAUCGGGUACCUACUUCUGCAGAGCAUGGGCAUGGAAUGGUGUUUUUCUGCAUUUCUUCACACAGACACCUAGCUCUUACUUAAAUCUUCGGAGACAGAAUUAUUAGCACAACGUGGAGCAACCUGUUCCUGCCUUGUGUCUUUUUUCCCUUCCUAAACAUUGUGAUUUGCUUGUGUGCAAAUCUCAGGAGAUCUUCACAUUUUAUGGAAACUGAUUCACUUUUUUUUUAAGUAGAUGUAUUAGUUGGGAGAGAGGAAGAUGGCCUGAGGAAUAUCAGCGAAGGAAAUGUUAGUGUAACAGGCACUUCUUCCUUAAGAUACCUGUAACCUCGGAGAGUCUUGCUCAUCCACAAGUGUUUGUUACUUACCAGAAGUAGUGUUCCGUCUGUUGAAGGAGAUUUUGGAGAUUUACACUACAAUUAAUAUUGCGGAAAUGUACGGGAAACCAGACCUCCACUGGAAGAAAAAUAGAGAGAUUUGUUGCUGGGUGGAUGAUUUCAAUGGCACUGGUUAGCUUUGAGUAGGCAACGCUAAUUAUCCAGUCAUGGUUCAUGUGUUGCAAGAAAGCUGCAAAAGGCUUCAUGGACUUCCUCCGAUUUGUCACGGAAAUGAUUUUGUCUGUGGCGGCUCACCGACUUGAUCAAGUUUCAGAUCUGACCUAGCAACCCCUUGCUGUCCUCCUAAGGACAGGACCAGGUCACACUCUCUUCCCUCACCCACACAAUGAAAUGGGCUUUGCUUUUCUAGGAUGUAAACGAUACAGAGAGCUUGUCCAUACCUCUCCUGCGUAUUAUUGAUCUCGCAACAAUAACCACUCUAAAGCUGGAGAAAAGGUCGUUCUGCCAAAUAGCCUAGUAACCCUGAAAUGCCCGGAGCUUAGUGGAAAACAAGCUAUUUGUCCAGCUGGUGUGAAACGUGCCUGUAGUUCCUAGUUUUCAAGCUCAGACUUGACUUGCUUACUUUUUUUGAGCUUAAUCUCAUGGGUAUAUGCUUGCUUGUGCACACCCUCUUCUAUCUCUCCUUCCUGUCUCUCUCUCUCUGUCUAUUCCUGUCUUUCUCCCUCCUUUCUUCUCCCUCCCUUCCUCCCUCCCUUCCUCCUUCCCCCUCUCUCCCACCCCUCCCUCCUUCUCUCCCUCCCUCUGUUUCUCUCCUAUUUUCUCUCACUGUCUCCUUUUCACAUUCUCUCGCUUGCUUGCCCAUGAAGUGAAUGCUGUUUGACGGCAGGUCUGCCCAUGUGUUCACACUGUGAAUGAAGUGCUCCAUUAAAGCAGUGUGCAGCAGGCAGAAUGAGUAAGUCCAAACAUGUGACAGGUUGGAGGUAGCAGACACGUUCAGAACCGGUGUCCCUGAUUUUGAUCUCCCAUCCCUGCAUGUUUGUGGCCAGUGUCACUGAUUGAUUUAUAAGCGGAGACACAAGUCCCCAGUGUGUUACACCCAGCGCAUUGAUGUCAUGUUUGAAUGGCUCCCCUGCUGUGGUGCAAGACCGAAGGCUGUGGUGCAGAACCAUAGUGUCGACAGAUUGAACUGAUUUGUUUUCGGCGGCCUAUUGAGCCAUCUGCUUGCCUGGAAAGCAGAGGUUUUAUGUGUGAUGGUGUAUAGCCCUGCUUGUUUUCUCCCUCACUGACUAUGGCCUCCUUUUUGUCCUCCCUCUGCGUUUCAACAGCUAGCUGUACUGAUAGAUCUGACAUUUUUUUUUGUUUGAUUUUUCAGCUCAGGGUUUUUACAUCUCUGAUGAAGGCAAGGCAAGCUUCCUUGUGCUGAAAAGGCCUUUUUGUUUGUCCCUUCAGGGAAUUGUUUUGUUAUUUUUAAUUUGCUCAUAAAACACCUGCAUAUCAUCUUUCUGAACUCCCAUAGUUUCUGCCCCCACUGUUUCCACAUGUUCUCACACUGCUGCUGGACAUUUAAGGGCCAUCCCUUUUAUUGUUCUGGGCACUCAUACAAUUGGGUGUUGGAUAUAAGAGCCAGUGACUUUUAAUAGCAAUGGGUAAUUCUUGUGCAAGGGAAUGGCAUUUGAUUGGGUUAGGAUCGAGUGUUUUGUUUUAUUAGAGUUGACCCUUUUGAUUUAAUAGAUACCAGCUGUGCCAUCUUGUCCCUAAACCUGUGGACAGCUCGUGUGGAAGGCACGUAACCAUCUUGUAGGCAAAGAGAGAGAUGCUCAGGCCACUGGCACCCCCUUGUUUUUGUAUUCACUGAGACCCAGUGGGGGUAGGGUUUCAUUCCCUUGGCCAACAUGCCUGAGCAGCUUCUGGUGCAUCCACGAGUUAUUGUGGAACCUCCCAGAUGCUUGACAACAAGGUGCAGAGCUGGAUGAACACAGCAGGCCAAGCAGCAGAAAGGCUGACAUUUCGGGCCUAGACCCUUCAUCAGAAAAUGCUUGUCUGUUUGCAGGGCCUUUGUUGAUAUUCUAACAAGUAUCAAUGUGUAAUUGAUCUUAAUAAUACAACUUGGAUGGCACAUGGUCAAUGAGUACAUGUGAUGUUAAAUAUGACUAAAAUUCAUUGAGUCUUUACCGCUAUAGUUGUUACUAUUGCCGAAAUAACUUUGUUCUUGAAGAACUGGAAGUUGACUGACAUUCUCAUCCCUCUUCCACUUGGCUGCACAAUGUCUACUGUCCCUUUAGAGGAUGACCGAUUUCCCUUGGUGUUUGGAGUCUAUGUAUUUAUCUAGCACCAUUUGAAAUCGGUUAUAAUGAUUGGGGAACAACACCUAUCUUCACCAAGACAUGAUGGCUUCUUCUGUUCUAUAAUUCGGUGUUUCUAACAUAAUGAUGCAAAUAAAGGAUAUGUACCAUGUUUAAGACUAAUUGUGCUAGUUCUGUGUCACUUGACUGACUACAGGAAAUUAGAAUUAUAAUUACCUUUUGUUUAUGCUGCUGUUGUCAGUGAUGACCAAACUUAAUGUUAUAAUUGUAUUAGACAACUGGGUUUGCGUGUGCAUGCUGUUGUACUCUGCUGGUCAUAACUCAGGGGGUCCACAUUUCUGUCUCUGAUUUAGAAGGUCAUGGAUUCAAACUCUGCUCCAGUCUUUAAACACAUAAUCCAAUCUGACAUUUCAGCGCAGAACUAAGGGUGCGUUGCAUCGCUGGAUAUGACAGGAAAUGACAUGAAGAGGAGCUGGGCAUCUCUGACAGCUGAGCAAUGUUUAUUCAUCGCCGAAAGUCUGAUUAUUUAUCUCAUUGUUACUGAGAGACCAUGCUGUGUGCAAAUCGAAUAUUGCAUUUGUUUUCAGAACCUUUUUGUAAAUUUACUACAAGAGUAGAUA